rnacentral:rRNA from 1 species
UGCGUAGGCGGGCUAAUAAGUCAGUGGUGAAAUCUCUCGUCUCAACCGGGAAACUGCCAUUGAUACUGUUAGUCUUGAGUUCGGUUGAGGUAGGCGGAAUGUGUAAUGUAGCGGUGAAAUGCUUAGAUAUUACACAGAACACCAAUUGCGUAGGCAGCUUACUAGACCGACACUGACGCUGAGGCACGAAAGCGUGGGUAGCAAACAGGAUUAGAUACCCUGGUAGUCC